CUCUACAAAAACGCAAACUAUGAACAUAAGUAAGAGUCUCAAACUUUUCAACAUAAUGCUAUUCAUUACCUUUUACCUUUCUUGGUACUGUGAAGAGGACCUUGCCCUUGGAAUCCAUAAGAUUAACUUCAUCUCUAAAGUUGCAAUUGUAGUUAUCAACACGAUACACAAGUUGACCCUUCGCGUCAAAGACAGUGCAACCUUUGCAACCAAGCACUAGAGACUUCAUCCAUAUUGUAUAAGUUUCUUGUUUGGAAAUGAAGUAGCAGGAGGCAGAGGGAAUUACUACUUGGGGAUGAACCUUUACAGUCAUAAAGUUGGAUUUACUCGCCAACAUCUAUUGAGCAUUUAGAAGUAAGCUAUGUAGGAAGUUUAGUAGAUAUAUAUAUAUAUAUAUAUAUAUAUAGAGCAUUAUUUUUUUCAACCGACUGAGUAAUGCUUUUUAUAUAUUGGAAUAAUAAUAUGAUCAUUUGAAAGAUUGGCAUAGGAGAACUAGAUAAUCGUUGUUUAAGUUCUUGACUUGUUCUUUAGCAAUAAAAAACACUCCUGAAAAAAUAGCAAUAAGUCAUUAUUUUAAAAAGCGCCCACUUUUCAUAUGUGGCUAUGCAAGUGUACUUGAACCUUAUCAUUUAAUGACUCUAUAUAUGGAGCUUUCACUGUUACAUUCUGGAGAUUUUAGUCAAUUGAUCUCCCACUUGGUGGUUUUAUUAUGGAGUUAACGUUGCGCACACAGUAAGUUUCAUGUUCUUGAUCCAGUACUGUAGAGACAGCCACUUCCUAUGUAUUUUGAACACAGUAAGUUUCAUGUCAUGCUUUGUAUGAUUAGAUACCUGACAACGGUGGAAUCCUUAUCAAGAACUGCCAUGUAUCACUAGACAAUAUGUACCACAUUCAUGCACUGAAUAGAUGAGGCUUUCUUCAAGCAAAAAUGUUGUGUAGCAUGAGAAAUCCGUCUUCAUUUUAUGAACUUAAUUUAUAUUUUGUAGAAAAUAUCGAUUGUAUUACAUACCAAUUGCCUAGCUUGGUGACACAGUCAUAUAAUUAACAUCUUGGACAGUGUCUAAAUUUCUCACAAAACUCUAACCUUGCUGUCCCACACCAACCCAAAAAAAAAAAAAAAAAAAAAGCACUGGAUUCCUCCUCCAUGGCUGCCUAGUGGACAUUAGACUAAGAUGGGGGGUAUUGAGAAACCUUGUGGCUACUAUUCAAUGACAAAUGGCUAAAAUAUGACCAAACAGUGACUUGAGAUCAUAUAGAAUUUGGCCAGCAUAGAAAUAAGCAUCCUGCAAUAUUUUUUUGUGAAAGAAUAUGCUUGUUUCUGUCUCUCUCAGCAGGCCUUUCUCUGGCGGCAUUUAGUAAUGAGUAUUCCACUACCAGUUUUGUGGAUGUGUUUUAGGCCUUUUUCUGGAGUUUGGAUAAUUAUCAGCCACUCAAAUUAAAUAAGGAAAGUCGGUUAACUUAUCUGAUUAAUUUAUAAUGUAAAGUUUGUUCUCCCUCUCUUAUUCAAAUCUAUCUUAAAGAAAUGAUAAGAUUUUAGGGAGUUGGGCAUGCAUUCCUGAUAUUCGAUACACUGGUUGUUGGUAUUUCUUAAUAAAUAUUAGUUGUAA